CAUGGCCGAAAAACUGACUGAUGACGAAAAGAAAAUCAGCUAGCUGAUAAUUAGGCACUCCCAAAAAAAAAGGCGGAGAGAUGUGAGCGCCGUCCCGGCGGCUAGUCGCCGGUGAGUCUCCAGUAUCACCAGGUCUAUUUCCCCUCUCGCUAGAGCCUUGAGUUUUAUUCCCCUCUGAUUUUGGUGGGAUUUGGCCUCUCCGAUCUGUUUCCCUCUUCGAAUCGGGCCAGCAUUGGUUUCGUUUUGUCGAUUUGAUUGACCACGGCUUCGGAGCACACGAGUGCUCUUUUCCUAGGUAUAGAAAGGAUGCAGCGGAGGGAGCCGCUCGGAAGAAGAAUCUGUAUGAUCGAUGUGCUGCAACAUUUGGAUUUGGAGUUGAGGGAUGUGCAGUAUCAAAACCAUCUUCCGUAAGGAGCGUAUUAGACGCCAGCUUGCUAGCAGAAUUUGGGGGAGGUCCUAAAAGUGCACCUGGAUGAUGAAGGGUUCUGAAUAUCGAUCGCGACCAAUAAAAGUUCGAACUUUUCUUAGUAAAAUACGAGAAAUUCGCCAAGGUUUGUGCAAAAUUGUUCAUGAGGAGAAAGAGGAUAUUAUGUUGAUGGGAAAAAGGAAUUGCAACAUGGGGAUUUGUCGAUCGCGUCACCCGAUCGGCAUGGCCCGGGUACGAGCACGUGGUAAUUAUUUGAAAGUCCAUCAGGAAGCUCCUAGGGUCCAGCUUGAGGAACUUUUUUUUCCUCAGAAAACAAUAAUGAUGCCGGCUUGUUAUUAGUGCCGGAACCAUAGGAGUUGGAUGGUGCGGCUUGUUGAUGGGGAAAAGGAAUUAUAAUCUAGCUGAUUAUUGUUGCAUGCGGAGAAUUUAAGUGGUGACUGGCUGCCUGGUGGCGGUGAAGAAUUUCACUGAGGAUGCGAGAUGCACAUGCAUGAUAAUUCUCCAGGAUACACACAGAAGGUGUCCAACGACCUUGCCAACUGUGUCGGACUCCGUGAGAACACAGUCGUUGGGAUCCACAUUCGCGACAACCUUCCAACAUCAGAGAUUGUUGUGCUCAAGCUAGUGAUGGAGGCCGAAGAAAUUCUGAAAUUCUGUACCUCGGAUCAUCUCGCCCACCAAAUUGGGAUUGUGCACUUAAGUAUGAGGUUUCCUGUGUCGAGAAACCAAAAUAAAGUCGGAGAAUUGAAAGUCGUCGGGGCACUCCCAAUGGCCACAGGUAUGUUCUCUGCAAGGACAAGAACAUAUGUCAAGCAAGGUAACAAAGAAAUCCAGAUUGGAGUUGCACUUCACCGACCUAUCUUCCACCCUGUGCUUCAACAUCAACCUAAGACAACAUUACUUGGAUUUGCCAGUGUCUCUCACAUAGUUGAUGCUAUUGUCCAGAAAUUUGCAGUGUACAAGAGCUACCCACCCUCAAACUAUGGCAAGUGUACGGUUGUCCUUUAUGGCCCGUACAACAAAGAAGCAGUUGCCAGGGAAGUGGCUUGUUGUUUGAGGAUGAGAUUUGAAUCCACAAGCGCAAUACAAUUUAUAAAGGAUUACCCUGAUGAUUCUGUUUCGGCGGUUGAUAAGUUUUUCCGAAGUGAAGCAGUGAGAGGGCCUUGUGUGCUCUUGAUAGAUAGAUUUGACGAGGUCGCUCCUGAAGCCGGAAAAGGUUAUACAUACAUCAGCAUUGUGAUAACUGCGAAGCUUAAAUACACACUGGAAGAAUCAAUGAACUGCCCUAACUUUAUCAUCGCAGGAGCAAGGUGGAGAUGCCUGGUAGAACCAGGUAUUCAUUCACGGGUCCGCGAUGUGCUAUUUUGUGGGCCUGAAGAGGAAAGGGAGGAGUGGGACGAUGUGGGGACCUGCCUCCGGCAUGUGAUGACAUCGCCCCACAGUGGAGGCCAUAAACGUUGGAGCACACCGAACAUUGUUCUGUAUGGGCCUGUCGACAUGUCGAACAACAUAUGUAGCUCAUUUGCUGCAUGCCGCUCACUCAAGAUUGUUAGGAUUGAAGCAGCAGACCUUCUCAUGCAGUACAACCGUGUUGGAGUUGUUGCGAUAUCUGACCUGUUUCUGAGAGCAACCUGUGAGAGACCUUCCCUGUUAUUCAUUGAAAGAUUUGAUACAGUUGCACAGCACCCAAUGAUAAAUGAGCUAUGCUUCCAGUUAGAUAAUCUGGACAGUCAGGUGCAUGCGUUUGUUGCUGUUAGGUUAGUUCUAAUUCCAAUUAAUCAGAGGGCUAAUCACUGCCAUGGUGAAAAUAAUGGUGGCAGCUGAUAGAUUCACAACUCCUGCAGGCUGGGAGACUUGACAAGCGCGUGUUCUGUGGCUCGUGUGGAAUGAAAAUGCCAUGGGAUUUUGUUGGGGACCGUUUGCUUCAGCUCCAGCAGUCGAGCAGGGGAUGAUAGGGGCUCCAACUUUGUGGCGGGUGAUUUACAUGGAACAUGCAGUCGAUAGAUGGCAGGAUGGGCGCGUGUGGAGAUUGAUCGCAUCACGUUUUUGCAUUAUAGAUAUAUGCUUUCCAAUGCAAUACAAUCGCUGCGUACGAACUGUGGUUAUUUUACGUGAGUUCACUCUGCUUGAUCACUUAUUAUGUAAACAUGGAAGGUUAACCAGCCACCAACGACAUAACAAUGUGGCUCUAUAACAAUGCGGGGGGGACGAUGACGAUUGGCAGCCGGCCAGCCGCAAAGUUGCAUUCGAAGAACAGGAUUUCGCUCUAAGAUUGUAGAAAUGGAUUCCGAUGUAGGCCUAAUUCUAAUCUCUAUUUGCCUGCUC